UGCGCCCAGCCCAUGUUCACAUUUUAAUUGUGGAAGCCAGGUGACGGAUGGUGGCACCAUCAAGCAAAAGAUCUUCACCUUCGACGCCAUGUUCUCCACCAACUACUCACACAUGGAGAACUACCGCAAGCGAGAGGACCUGGUGUACCAGUCCACUGUGAGGCUGCCCGAGGUCCGGAUCUCGGACAACGGUCCCUAUGAGUGCCAUGUGGGCAUCUACGACCGCGCCACCAGGGAGAAGGUGGUCCUGGCAUCGGGUAACAUCUUCCUCAACGUCAUGGCUCCUCCCACCUCCAUUGAAGUGGUGACUGCGGACACACCAGCCCCCUUCAGCCGCUACCAAGCCCAGAACUUCACGCUGGUCUGCAUCGUGUCUGGAGGAAAACCAGCGCCCAUGGUUUAUUUCAAACGAGAUGGGGAACCAAUCGACGCAGUGCCCCUAUCAGAGCCACCAGCUGCGAGCUCCGGCCCCCUCCAGGACAGCAGGCCCUUCCGCAGCCUUCUGCACCGUGACCUGGAUGACACCAAGAUGCAGAAGUCACUGUCCCUCCUGGACGCCGAGAACCGGGGUGGGCGACCCUACACGGAGCGCCCCUCCCAUGGCCUGACCCCAGAUCCCAACAUCCUCCUCCAGCCAACCACAGAGAACAUACCAGAGACGGUCGUGAGCCGUGAGUUCCCUCGCUGGGUCCACAGCGCCGAGCCCACCUACUUCCUGCGCCACAGCCGCACCCCGAGCAGCGACGGCACUGUGGAAGUACGUGCCCUGCUCACCUGGACCCUCAACCCACAGAUCGACAACGAGGCCCUCUUCAGCUGCGAGGUCAAGCACCCAGCUCUGUCGAUGCCCAUGCAGGCAGAGGUCACACUGGUUGCCCCCAAAGGACCCAAAAUUGUGAUGACGCCCAGCAGAGCCCGGGUAGGGGACAC
rnacentral:sRNA from 1 species